AGAAAGCGAAUGCGAUUCCGUAAGUAGUGGCGAGCGAAAGCGGAACAGACCAAACCAGAUCAGCUUGCUGAUCCGGGGUUCGGNNCANNAUAUACGGGAGAACCAAUCCAAANAUAANAACACGNUGGAAAGCGUGGCCAAAGAAGGUGAUAGCCCUGUAUACGGCGGAGCGGUAAUCCUAGUGUUUCCAGAGUAGCACGGGAUAAGUGGAACCCUGUGUGAACACGCGCCAACCAUGGCGUAAGUCUAAAUACUACCUAGCAACCGAUAGUGAACUAGUACCGUGAGGGAAAGGCGAAAAGCACCCCGGGAGGGGAGUGAAAAGUACCUGAAACCACGUGCCUACAAGGUGUCGGAGCCAUCUUCGGAUGGUGACGGCGUGCCUUUUGCAUAAUGAGUCUGCGAGUUAUUGUUCGUGGCAAGCCUAAGGGCUUUUGGUCCGGAGGCGAAGCGAAAGCGAGUGUGACAAGCGCGNNNUAGUCGCGAGCAAUAGACCCGAAGCGGAGGUGAUCUAGCCAUGGCCAGGUUGAAGCUUAGGUAACACUAAGUGGAGGACCGAACCGGUGUACGUUGAAAAGUGCUCGGAUGAGCUGUGGCUGGGAGUGAAAGGCUAAUCAAACCCCGUGAUAGCUGGUUCUCUCCGAAAUAGCUUUAGGGCUAGCGUCAGGCAAGGAUUCGAGGGGUAGAGCACUGAAUGGCUUAGGGCCCAUACCCGGGUACCAAAACCAAUUAAACUCCGAAUACUCGAACUCCNUACUGGCAGUCAGACUAUGGGUGAUAACAUUCAUGGUCGAAAGGGAAACAACCCAGAUCGCCGGCUAAGGUGCCCAAACUGGAUUAAGUGGAAAGGAUGUGGAAUUGCAUAGACAGUGAGGAUGUUGGCUUAGAAGCAGCCACCAUUUAAACAUAGCGUAACAGCUGACUCAUCGAGCGAUUCUGCGCCGAAAAUGAUUGGCGAUUAAAUCCAGUACCGAAGCCGCGGACGUGUUUUACACGUGGUAGGAGAGCGUCGUCUAUGCGCUGAAGCUGAACUGUAAGGGACAGUGGAGCGUAGACGAGUGAGGAUGCAGACAUGAGUAGCGAUAAAACAGGUGAGAAUCCUGUUCGCCGUAAACCCAAGGUUUCCCAUAGCCACGCUCGUCGGCUUGGGGUUAGUCGGGUCCUAAGGUGAGGCCGUAAGGCGUAAUCGAUGGACAGCAGGUUAAUAUUCCUGCACCGGCAGUGUAUUUAGUGUGUGAGUGCGCGGAGAAGGAAGAUGCAUACAUAACGUUAUGGAAGAGGCUUAGUCCACGAGGCGAAGCCCGCAUUGGAAAUCUCUGCCUAGAAAAGCUCAUACACAUUCUAUGCCUGUCGCCCGUACCGUAAACCGCCACAGGUAGGAGGGUGUAAAUGUACCAAGGCGCGCGAGAGAAACCUCUUUAAGGAACUCUGCAAAUUAGCCCCGUAACUUCGGAAGAAGGGGUGCCAUCUUCGGAUGGCCACAGUAAAGGGUGACUGGCGACUGUUUACCAAAAACACAGCUCUCUGCUAAGAUGUUAAGUCUACGUAUAGGGAGUGACACGUGACCAAUGCCGAAAGAUCAAGGCUGUUCUGUUAACGCAGGGCACCCAAGUCCCGGUGAAUGUCGGCCGUAACUAUAACGGUCCUAAGGUAGCGAAAUUCCUUGUCGGGUAAGUUCCGACCUGCACGAAUCGUGUAACGACCGG
rnacentral:rRNA from 1 species